rnacentral:rRNA from 1 species
UACGGAGGAUCCGAGCGUUAUCCGGAUUUAUUGGGUUUAAAGGGUGCGCAGGCGGGAGAUUAAGUCGGCGGUGAAAUUUUGCAGCUCAACUGUAAAAGUGCCUUCGAAACUGGUUUCCUUGAGUGUGGAUGAAGUAGGCGGAAUUUGUGGUGUAGCGGUGAAAUGCAUAGAUAUCACGAGGAACUCCGAUUGCGCAGGCAGCUUACUAAACUACUACUGACGCUCAGGCACGAAGGCGUGGGGAUCAAACAGGAUUAGAUACCCUGGUA